rnacentral:rRNA from 1 species
GACGAACGCUGGCAGCGUGCUUAACACAUGCAAGUCGAGCGGUAAGGCCCUUUCGGGGGUACGACGAGCGGCGAACGGGUGAGUAACACGUGGGUGACCUGCCCUCAGCUCUGGGAUAAGCCUGGGAAACCGGGUCUAAUACCGGAUAUGACUCCAUGACGCAUGUUGUGGGGUGGAAAGCCUUGUGCGGCUGAGGAUGGGCCCGCGGCCUAUCAGCUUGUUGGUGGGGGGAU